rnacentral:tRNA from 1 species
GGCCUGCUAGCUCAAUCGGUUAGUACGUCGUGCUAAUAACGCGAAGGUCGUGGGUUCGAUCCCUGCGCAGGCCA